rnacentral:rRNA from 1 species
CCUACGGGGGGCUGCAGUGGGGAAUAUUGGACAAUGGGCGAAAGCCUGAUCCAGCCAUGCCGCGUGUGUGAAGAAGGCCUUCGGGUUGUAAAGCACUUUCAGUGGGGAAGAAAGCCUUGGGGCUAAUACCCUCGAGGAAGGACAUCACCCACAGAAGAAGCACCGGCUAACUCCGUGCCAGCAGCCGCGGUAAUACGGAGGGUGCGAGCGUUAAUCGGAAUUACUGGGCGUAAAGGCGCGUAGGCGGUCUGAUAAGCCGGUUGUGAAAGCCCCGGGCUCAACCUGGGAACGGCAUCCGGAACUGUCAGGCUAGAGUGCAGGAGAGGAAGGUAGAAAUCCCGGUGUAGCGGUGAAAUGCGUAGAGAUCGGGAGGAAUACCAGUGGCGAAGGCGGCCUUCUGGACUGACACUGACGCUGAGGUGCGAAAGCGUGGGUAGCAAACAGGAUUAGAUACCCGAGUAGUC